GACGAACGCUGGCGGCGUGCUUAACACAUGCAAGUCGAACGGAAAGGCCCUGCUUUUGUGGGGUGCUCGAGUGGCGAACGGGUGAGUAACACGUGAGUAACCUGCCCUUGACUUUGGGAUAACUUCAGGAAACUGGGGCUAAUACCGGAUAGGAGCUCCUGCUGCAUGGUGGGGGUUGGAAAGUUUCGGCGGUUGGGGAUGGACGCGGGGCUUAUCAGCUUGUUGGUGGGGUAGUGGCUGACCAAGGCUUUGGCGGGUAGCCGGCAGGAGAGGGUGGACGGCCACAUUGGGACUGAGGGACGGCCCAGAGUCGUACGGGGGGCAGCAGUGGGGAAUAUUGCACAAUGGGAGGAAGCCUGAUGAAGAAACGCCGCGUGCGGGAUGACGGCCUUCGGGUUAUAAACCGCUGUCGCCUGUGACGAAGCGUGAGUGACGGUAAUGGGUAAAGAAGCACCGGCUAACUACGUG
rnacentral:rRNA from 1 species